rnacentral:rRNA from 1 species
UAAUACAGAAGAUGUAAGCGUUAUCCGGAAUGAUUGGGCGUAAAGCGUUUGUAGGUUGCUUUUUAAGUCUGCCGUCAAAUCCCAGGGCUCAACCUUGGACAGGCAGUGGAAACUACCAAGCUGGAGUACGGUAGGGGCAGAGGAAAUUUUCGGUGGAGCGGUGAAAUACGUAGAGAUCGAAAAGAACACCAACGGCGAAAGCACUCUACUGGGCCGACAUUAACACUGAGAGACGAAAGCUAGUGAAGCGAAUGGGAUUAGAUACCCUAGUAGUGCUAGCUGUAAACGAUGGAUACUCGGUGCUGUACGUAUCAACCCAUGCAGUGCUGUUGCUAACGCGUUAAGUAUCCCGUCUGGGGAGUAUGUUCGUAAGAGUGAA